rnacentral:rRNA from 1 species
UGGGGAAUAUUGCACAAUGGGGGGAAACUCUGAUGCAGCGACGCCGCGUGAGUGAAGAAGUAUUUCGGUAUGUAAAGCUCUAUCAGCAGGGAAGAUAAUGACAGUACCUGACUAAGAAGCCCCGGCUAACUACGUGCCAGCAGCCGCGGUAAUACGUAGGGAGCGAGCGUUGUCCGGAUUUACUGGGUGUAAAGGGUGCGUAGGCGGAAGAGCAAGUCAGUAGUGAAAUCCAUGGGCUUAAACCCGUGAACUGCUAUUGAAACUGUUCUUCUUGAGUGAAGUAGAGGUAGGCGGAAUUCCCGGUGUAGCGGUGAAAUGCGUAGAGAUCGG